rnacentral:rRNA from 1 species
GACGAACGCUGGCGGCGUGCCUAAUACAUGCAAGUAGAACGCACAGUUUAUACCGUAGCUUGCUACACCAUAGACUGUGAGUUGCGAACGGGUGAGUAACGCGUAGGUAACCUGCCUGGUAGCGGGGGAUAACUAUUGGAAACGAUAGCUAAUACCGCAUAAUAUUGAUUAUUGCAUGAUAAUUGAUUGAAAGAUGCUAUUGCAUCACUACCAGAUGGACCUGCGUUGUAUUAGCUAGUAGGUGAGGUAACGGCUCACCUAGGCGACGAUACAUAGCCGACCUGAGAGGGUGAUCGGCCACACUGGGACUGAGAAACGGCCCAGACUCCUACGGGAGGCAGCAGUAGGGAAUCUUCGGCAAUGGACGAAAGUCUGACCGAGCAACGCCGCGUGAGUGAAGAAGGUUUUCGGAUCGUAAAGCUCUGUUGUAAGAGAAGAACGGGUGUGAGAGUGGAAAGUUCACACUGUGACGGUAUCUUACCAGAAAGGGACGGCUAACUACGUG